CCCGCUCAGAAACUCAAAUGAAUUCGACGGGGGCCCGCACAAGCGGUGGAGCAUGUGGUUUAAUUCGAUGAUACGCGAGGAACCUUACCUGGGCUCAAAUGUAUGUUGACGUAUUCUGAAAGGGAUACUUCUUCGGACAAUAUACAAGGUGCUGCAUGGUUGUCGUCAGCUCGUGCCGUGAGGUGUCGGGUUAAGUCCCAUAACGAGCGCAACCCCUAUCAUUAGUUGCCAUCAGGUCAAGCUGGGGACUCUAAUGAAACUGCCUACGCAAGUAGUGAGGAAGGUGGGGAUGACGUCAAAUCAGCACGGCCCUUACGUCCAGGGCUACACACGUGCUACAAUGGCCGGUACAGAGCGCAGCGAGGCCGCGAGGCGGAGCGAAUCGCUUAAAGCCGGUCCCAGUACGGAUUGGAGUCUGCAACCCGACUCCAUGAAGUUGGAAUCGCUAGUAAUCGCGCAUCAGCAUGGCGCGGUGAAUACGUUCCCGGGCCUU
rnacentral:rRNA from 1 species